AGUGCUCAGCGUGCCUCCUCCACCAGAGAAAAUGCAGCUUUAAUAAGUGACCUCCACCAACAUGUAACUGGUUCUUACGUUGUCCGUGCUCCAACUCUCCACCAAGUUCCACAAAAUUCAGCUGCAAUCUUGCUGCUCUCGGCUGGAUGAAGAAUCAGGUGUGGUGCUCCCACCAUCCUCCUGCCUGGAUAACUGCUUCGGAUCAGCUUCAACAUGGCAACACCUUCUGGUUUUUUUUGGCCUUGAAGAACUCAGAACUCUAAUUUCCUAAUCAAGGAGUUUAGGUCAGACAAGUGGAAGAAUGGGAGCGAAGGUGCCAAUGUUAAUAACAUCUGGAAAAGGUUCAUCUGGAGCGGGUGCCAAAGCAAUCAGGCUGAAUGUAUACAUGUUAGGCCAAAUCAAGCACAUUCGGCCUGCAUGCCGGCCCUCUGGUACCAUCAGCAUGACACUAAAAAGGCGGCGGAGAUGCAGCCUGAGGGAGAAUUCUGCUCUUCAGCCAAAGGCUUCCUUGGAAUAAGGAAGGAGCUCCAUCAGGGCUCUCUGUCUGACACAAAGCAGGAAUAAAGUUGAGUUGCUAAACAGUCAAACUUCCAACUGUUGACCCCAUACAACAUGAAGUCGCGGAGACCACUUCCUGUUGGCGUGG